UACACAUGCAAGUCGAGCGGGGAAAAGUAGCUUGCUACUUUACCUAGCGGCGGACGGGUGAGUAAUGCUUAGGAAUCUGCCUAUUAGUGGGGGACAACAUCUCGAAAGGGAUGCUAAUACCGCAUACGUCCUACGGGAGAAAGCAGGGGACCUUCGGGCCUUGCGCUAAUAGAUGAGCCUAAGUCGGAUUAGCUAGUUGGUGGGGUAAAGGCCUACCAAGGCGACGAUCUGUAGCGGGUCUGAGAGGAUGAUCCGCCACACUGGGACUGAGACACGGCCCAGACUCCUACGGGAGGCAGCAGUGGGGAAUAUUGGACAAUGGGGGGAACCCUGAUCCAGCCAUGCCGCGUGUGUGAAGAAGGCCUUUU
rnacentral:rRNA from 1 species